rnacentral:rRNA from 1 species
UACAGAGGUCCCAAGCGUUGUUCGGAUUCACUGGGCGUAAAGGGUGCGUAGGUGGCCAGGUAAGUUCGGUGUGAAAGCUCGGAGUUUAACUCCGAAAUGUCAUUGAAUACUAUCUGGCUAGAGGGCCGGAGGGGAGACUGGAAUUCUCGGUGUAGCAGUGAAAUGCGUAGAUAUCGAGAGGAACACCAGUGGCGAAGGCGAGUCUCUGGACGACUCCUGACACUGAGGCACGAAAGCUAGGGGAGCAAACAGG